rnacentral:rRNA from 1 species
GACGGAGGGUGCAAGCGUUGUUCGGAAUUACUGGGCGUAAAGCGCGUGUAGGCGGUCUGUUAAGUCUCGUGUGAAAGCCCUGGGCUCAACCCAGGAAGUGCGCGAGAUACUGGCGGACUGGAGUGGCGGAGAGGAUGGCGGAAUACCCGGUGUAGAGGUGAAAUUCGUAGAUAUCAGGAGGAACACCGGUGGUGUAGACGGCUUUCUGGACCGUAACUGACGCUGAGACACGAAAGCGUGGGUAGCAAACAGG